AUUGAACGCUGGCGGCGUGCUUAACACAUGCAAGUCGAUCGGUAACGCGGGGGCAACCCUGGCGACGAGAGGCGGACGGGUGAGGAACGCUUGGGAAUCUGCCUAUCAGCGGGGGACAACCCGGGGAAACUCGGGCUAAUACCGCAUACGCUCUACGGAGGAAAGCCGGGGACCGCAAGGCCUGGCACUGAUAGAUGAGCCCAAGUCGGAUUAGCUAGUUGGCGGGGUAACGGCCCACCAAGGCGACGAUCCGUAGCUGGUCUGAGAGGACGAUCAGCCACACUGGGACUGAGACACGGACCAGACUCCUACGGGAGGCAGCAGUGGGGAAUAUUGGACAAUGGGGGAAACCCUGAUCCAGCGACGCCGCGUGGGUGAAGAAGGCCUGCGGGUUGUAAAGCCCUUUCGGUAGGGACGAAAGCUCUCGACCUAACACGUCGGGAGGUUGACUUAACCUACAAAAGAAGCACCGGCUAACUCUGUGCCAGCAGCCGCCGUAA
rnacentral:rRNA from 1 species